CUCAUAAAUAUUUAUUGUGACAUUAUUUUAAGAAUUAUUAUUGGGGAAACUUCAAAUACCCAGUGGUUUCGCAUUCUCUCACUUUAGUACCCUAUAGUUUAAAGUGUAUCAAAUUAGUACCAUGUGGAUUCACACCUUCACUUUAGUAUCUUGUGGUUUUAAGUGUAUCAAGUUAGUACCCUGUAGUUUUGCACUUUCUCACUUUAGUACCAUGUGGUUUAAUAUUUUGUUAAAUUAUAUACCCCGAAAUGAAUAAUAAAAAGAGAAAAUUGAAACCACAAGUUACUAACUUGAUACAAAAAUAAAAUCACAAGGUACUAACUUGAUACACUUGAAACUACAUGGUAUUAAAGUGAGAAAGUGCGAAACAAUACUUGAAGUUUCCCAUCAUUAUUUGCAUAAGUAUCCUCUAUGCUAUCGGAAGCAUAGAGGAUCGGGUGCUUUCGAUUUUUUGGCCCUUAGAUCAAUAUCUUUGAUCAUUUCUAAUCAUUGGAUUAAUAUUAUGAAUCAAUGGGAACCACUCAACCCGAGGGGACCACUCAACCCUAAGGGGAUCGCUAUCAUCUCAACCGUAGAAUUUUUGAUCCAAGGCUAAAAAAUCGGAAGCACUAACUACUUUAUGCUUCCGAUAGCAUAGUAACUCUACACUAUAUAUAUAUAUAUAUAUAUAUAUAUAUAGAGAGAGAGAGAGAGAGAGAGAGAGAGAGAAUU
rnacentral:lncRNA from 1 species